rnacentral:lncRNA from 1 species
UCCAACCGUUGCCUUGGUUUACCUUUCUGCUGCCUUUCUCCUUGCAUGCAUCGUAGCUGGUCUGUUCUCAAGUCUGUCUUGUUCAAAAAGCACCAGCUUCUUUGUCAUCAUCAUUGGGAACACAAGCUUUUGAGGUAAUGGAUUCUGUUCUUUUCAACAUAAAGUUGAUUCUGUUGAUUAUGUGGGAUUUGCUUGUAUCCGUGAGUGUUUUGCUUGUGAAAACUUGUGGAAUUUUUUUUAUCUUUUAUCUUCUGGAAGGCGUUUCGUAGUUUCAGGAUAGCUUUCCAGAAAAUCCGAUAGUUUUAUGUGCUAGAAAUUUAAGUUCAAUGUUUUUCUCAAUGUGUAUCUCAUACAGUUUCUUGUUGUCUUAUAGGAUGAUCCAAACACUUGGACUUAUGUUUCUCCUCCAAAUUUGACAAAAAGAGUAUAUGCUCGUUCUUGUUCUUCCUUUUUUUGUUUUAGGAAGAAUUUGUAGAUAUUCAAGAAUGUCUUCCUGAUUUUGAUUUCUACUUUGCAUAUUCAUUUAUGAUGUUUGUUCAACUCUAUUGAAUGUUGAAUUUGAUUUGUUUAGCUUAGCUUUCCUAAUCGAAAAGUUGAAUUUGAUUUGUUUGGUAUUCUUUCCUAUUAACCCGAGAAGCUUGCGUUUGUUUUCCAGCGAAGCAAAUAUCCUUAAGUUGUUGGAGCUCAAAGCAAAGGCUUUUGAAU